rnacentral:rRNA from 1 species
GACGUAGGGCGCGAGCGUUGUCCGGAUUUAUUGGGCGUAAAGAGCUCGUAGGCGGCUCGUUGCGUCAAUCGUGAAAGCCCGGAGCUCAACUCCGGGAUUGCCUUGGAUACGGGAUGACUUGAGGAUCGGAGAGGCAAGGGGAAUUCCACGUGUAGCGGUGAAAUGCGUAGAGAUGUGGAGGAACACCUGUGGCGAAGGCGCCUUGCUGGCCGAUUUCUGACGCUGAGGCGCGAAAGCGUGGGGAGCAAACAGG